GGUCCUAGCCUUAUUAUCAACUAUUUUUUGACCUACACAUGCAAGUCUCCGCAUACCCGUGAAAACGCCCUUUAAACCUAAACCAGAUUAAGGAGCCGGUAUCAGGCACAAGAACAUGCCCAUCACACCUAGUUUCACCACACCCAUAAGGGUAAUCAGCAGUGAUAAACAUUGUAUAUAAGCGACAGCUUGACUCAGUUAGAAAUAAUAGAGCCGGCUAACACGGUGCCAGCCGCCGCGGCUACACCGCUGGGCUCAAGUUGAUAAUUUUUCGGCGUUAAGCGUGAUUAAAGUCCCACUAUAAUAGAGUCAAAUAUAAACUCAGCCGUAAUAAGCUUGUUAACUGGAAAACCAUAAACGAAAGUUACUUUAUUAACCACUUGAACCCACGACAGUUGAGAAACAAACUGGGAUUAGAUACCCCACUAUGCUCAACCGUAAAAAAUUAACUUACAUUAUUAACGCCCGGGAAUUACGAGCCAAGCUUAAAACCCAAAGGACUUGACGGUGUCCCACCCACCUAGAGGAGCCUGUCCCACAAUCGAUACCCCCCGCUAUACCUUACCAUUUUUUGCCCACAGCCUGUAUACCUCCGUCGCAAGCUUACCAUGUGAAUGCUUAAGUAAGCUAAAUGAUUCUCACCAACACGUCAGGUCAAGGUGCAGCUUAUGAAAUGGGAGGAGAUGGGCUACAAUCUCUAUUCUAGAACAAACGAAAAACUGUAUGAAAUACAGUAUGAAGGUGGAUUUAGCAGUAAAUAGAAAAUAGUGAAUUCUCUUUAACAUGGCACUGGGACGUGUACACACCGCCCGUCACCCUCUUCAACAGCUACUAUAAUGUUAAUAACUUGAUUUUGCACCUUAGAAGAGGCAAGUCGUAACAUGGUAAGUGUACUGGAAAGUGUACUUGGAUUAUACAAAAUAUAGCUUAAAUAAAGCAUCUUGCUUACACCAAGAAAAUGUCUACUUACCCGGACUAUUUUGAGCCAAUAGUCUAGCCCUUACAAUUUUUAUACACUACCAACCAAACACCAUCAAAAUAAAACAUUUUAACUUAUUAGUAAAGGUGAUUGAAAAAUUUCUAGGAGCCUCAGAUUUAGUACCGCAAGGGAAUGAUGAAAUAAAACUGAAACAAUUCUUAAGCUCUAAAAAGCAAAGAUUAAGCCUUGUACCUUUUGCAUCAUGGUCUAGCCAGUCUAAUCAAGCAAAAAGAAAAUUUUAGUUUGACUCCCCGAAACUAGACGAGCUACUUCAAAACAGCCUUUAGGGUUGAUCCGUCUCUGUUGCAAAAGAGUGGAAUGAUUUUUAAGUAGCGGUGACAAACCUACCGAGCCUAGAGAUAGCUGGUUAUUCAGGAAAAGAAUUUUAGUUCUGCUUUAAGCCCCUACAAUACAUGAAGAUACAUUUGCUUAAAAGUUAUUCAAAUAAGGCACAGCUUAUUUGAUAUAGGACACAACCUAAACAAUAGGGUAAACAUCAAAUUCAAUAAACAAGUUGGCCUAAAAGCAGCCACCUUUAAAAAAGCGUCAAAGCUUGUUUCUUUAUUAAUUUAAUACCUAUUAUAACCUUGAACCCUCCACCAUUACUGAAUAAUUUUAUAAUGUUAUAAAAGCUCUCCUGCUAGAACUAGUAACAAGAAAUAGAUUUUCUCCAAAAUGCAAACUUAAGCCAGUAUGAACUAAUCACUGGCAAUUAACGUUUAUGAACCAACUAUAGUAACACACCAAGAAAACCCUAUAUAUACAUAUUAACGUUACCCUAACACUAGAGCAUUUCAGGAAAGAUUAAAAGAAAGAGAAGGAACUCGGCAAAUUUUAACCCCGCCUGUUUACCAAAAACAUCGCCUCUUGCCUAAUUAUAAGAGGUCUAGCCUGCCCAGUGACAUAGUUCAACGGCCGCGGUAUCCUAACCGUGCGAAGGUAGCAUAAUCACUUGUUCUUUAAAUAAGGACUAGUAUCAACGGCAUCACGAGGGUUAUACUGUCUCCUCUAUCCAAUCAGUGAAACUGAUCUUCCCGUGAAGAAGCGGGAAUAUUAAUAUAAGACGAGAAGACCCCAUGGAGCUUUAAACUCAACAACACCUCCUUAUAUUCAAACCCAGAAAAUUAAGAAGUUAUGUAAGUUAGUUUUAGGUUGGGGUGACCGCGGAGAAUAAUAAAACCUCCAUAACGAACGGGUACAACCCUAAUCCAAGAGCAACUGCUCUAAGAAUCAAUAAAUUGACGUAAUAUGAUCCGAUACUCGAUCAACGAACCAAGUUACCCUGGGGAUAACAGCGCAAUCCAUUUCAAGAGCCCCUAUCGACAAAUGGGUUUACGACCUCGAUGUUGGAUCAGGGUAUCCUAGAGGUGCAGCCGCUUCUAAAGGUU
rnacentral:ncRNA from 1 species